AAACUAAGGGACAAAGGGAGGGGGGGGAUGACCUCUCUGAUCCCUACAGCCUCCAAUUCUGUGACGCAACUUCCAUCACUGCAGGGAGUGGGGUUCUGCCAACAUACCUCCAUCUUGAUCCCUCAGAAAAAAAACUGCCACAAGGAGACAUUUAUUUGCAAGGUGUCAUGGAAGAUUGGCUUUCAUCAGUGUUUUACAGGCAUUCAAAGUGCUACUAAAGAGGAUUGUUUAAGAUUCUCGAGCUUGGCCGAACCCAGAGGUGCAUCCUGUCCCUUUUUCCCUGGCAAGUUCUGGAAUGGGCUAGUGGAGUCAGGAGUCAGAUGCGUGGUCUUACCCAAUUAG
rnacentral:lncRNA from 1 species